GAUGAACGCUGGCGGCGUGCCUAAUACAUGCAAGUCGAGCGAACGGACGAGAAGCUUGCUUCUCUGCUGUUAGCGGCGGACGGGUGAGUAACACGUGGAUAACCUACCUAUAAGACUGGGAUACCUUCGGGAAACCGGAGCUAAUACCGGAUAAUAUUUUGAACCGCAUGGUUCAAAAGUGAAAGACGGUCUUGCUGUCACUUAUAGAUGGAUCCGCGCUGCAUUAGCUAGUUGGUAAGGUAACGGCUUACCAAGGCAACGAUGCAUAGCCGACCUGAGAGGGUGAUCGGCCACACUGGAACUGAGACACGGUCCAGACUCCUACGGGAGGCAGCAGUAGGGAAUCUUCCGCAAUGGGCGAAAGCCUGACGGAGCAAUGCCGCGUGAGUGAUGAAGGUCUUCGGAUCGUAAAACUCUUUUAUUAGGGAAGAACAUAUGUGUAAUUAACUGUUCACAUCUUGACGUUACCUAAUCAGAAAGCCACGGCUAACUACGUG
rnacentral:rRNA from 1 species